AGCGAACGCUGGCGGCAGGCCUAACACAUGCAAGUCGAACGAACCUUUCUGGGUUCGUUUCUGGCGUGUGGGUACUCCGUUGGAACGUGCCUUUAGGUUCGGAAUAUCUCAGGGAAACUUCUUCUAAUUCCGCAUGUGCACUUCGGGGGAAUGAUUUAUCGCCUUUCAAGCGGCUCGCGUCUGAUUAGCUCGUUUGUUGAGGUAAUGGCUCUCCACGGCGACGAUCAGUAGUUGGUCUGAGAGGAUGAGCAGCCACAUUGGGACUGAGACAAGGCACAAACUCGUAAGAGAGGAAGCAGGGGGGAAUCUUGCGGAAGGGGCGAAAGGUGGACGAAGCCAUGCCGCGUGAAUGAUGAAGGUCUUAGGAGUGAAAAAGUCUUUUGCCGGGGACGAUAAUGACGGUACCGGGAGAAGAAGCCCCGGCUAACUACGUG
rnacentral:rRNA from 1 species